CCACCCGUUUGGCUUUGUCAUCACUCUUCCCCUCCUGGCUAUGGUCGCCGUGAGAGGUUUCGCCCGGUUGACGAAACGAUUAUCCAGAUUCAGGAGGAGGAGAUUUUAUGUAUUUUUCCAGCUCCAGGUAGCAAGCCCUAGAUUGGAUGAUAUCUGAUACACACGCAAAUACACAAAUUUCUCCAUCAUGUGCUUACUAUUAUAUAUGUGAUACUAUAUGCUGUAACAAAUCGAGAAUAAAGUUGAUGAGAGGACUUAAUUAAUUUGCCUCACGGUAUAAGCUUCAUGGUCUCCAGUUCAA